AGUUAACUCCAGAACAACUUGCAGACACAGUCGCCUUGUGUUUCAGUAAAUUGAUAUUGGUCAUCAUGGUUCCUUUUUAUCUUUGUAAACAAUCAGAUGUCUCCAUUCCUAUUCAUGCAGAGGUAAAGUGCUUAGUCUCCCUACCUUGAGCAACAGUUUAA